GGCUUUCUAUCACAUUCCUCAGAAUUAGCUUCCUCCUAGCUCCAGCUUCCCUUCGUUUUCUUAUGGCAAUGUUAUCAAUAAUGCAGAGGUCUUGCUGCUAUGAAGCAGGAACAAGACCCAGAUGUCAUGAAUGGAAAACAUCGCAGCUUAAAACUGGCAAAGCAGAGCAGUAAACAGAGUCAGGAAUAGGUGAGCCGUGGGGAGAUGGGGAAUGGCUAGAUGAUGUGUGUUUGAGAUGGGGGGGUGGGUAACCUCUUGAACAAGGUGCCCAAUUAGCUUACAGGGGAACAAGUAUGGGACCAAGAAAUGGAGGAGAAAGAUGGGGAAGGCAUGUGAGUAGCAUAGCAAUGUAGCCCUGAACAGCCUCUUUGCUGAGCAAGAAAUGAUGGAACUCACAUUUGCAUGAAUUAAAUUAACCUUGCAAUUUAUCUCAGACAAGAAUUCAUUGGAAAAGUUUCUAGAAAGAUUCAUGAGAGCCUGAUUUCAAAAUCCUGAUUCACCCACACUUUGCUGAUGAAGAAAGUGAGACACAAGAGAAUCCUUUAGCUCAGGGUGAACAAGUUCAAAGCUAACCACUCCAUCUCCAGCAAAACAAACCUUAACAAAACCUUCAUGUCUGGAUCUCAUCCUCUGUUCCUUGACUUGAGGAAAAGAACAAUCAUAUUGCCUCUUCACUUAGUCUGGAAAUCUAGUUAUUAUUUUUAACCUCUUCCUCACUGAGCCUCUAAAUCCAUUUAGUCUCCAAUUCUUACAGAUUUUACUUUCCUACUCUCUCACCCUAUGUCCUUUCCCCCCGUAUUUACACCUGCUACCCUAAACUAGGCCUUUCUCAUCUGUCCUGGCUGAUCUGGUCUCUGAAAUUCACUCUUAACACUCCUGUUCUAGGAGUUCCAGUCGUGGUGCAGAGGAAACAAAUCCUGACUAGGAACCAUGAGGUUGCAGGGAUUGAACCCACAACCUCAUGGUUACUAGUCAGAUUCCUUUCCGCUGAGCCACUGUGGGAACUCCUGACCUGAGAAGUGUUUUAAAAUAUGAAGUGUGCAUUAGUGCAAACUAGGGCUCAGUUACUUGCUCACAUACCCAAUAUCCAUGCAAACCUGAGCAAGCCUAGGCAAGUGACUUAUUUCUUUCUGCAAUUAAGUUUUCUUAGUGGCAAAAGGGGGAUAAUUAUAGCACCUACUUUAUCAUGAGAUAAUCUAUAUUAAGUGUUCAGCACAGCAUCUGAAACAUCAUGUCGUCAAUAAAUUAACUACUGUUCUUCUUGUCAUUGUUAUUGAGGGCAGUACCAUCUUAUAUUAAAAUUUUAAUUUCUUCUGCCACACUGCAAGCAUCCAGCAGAUAUUGGUUAAAUCAACUGAUACACAAGCAAGAUAGGGCCAUUGGUUAACCCAGGGAUGUUAGACUGUCACCGCUGGGCACACUUCCCACUGACCUAUUAUAGAAUCUCACUGAAAGGGAGUAGAGGAGUGUUCAGUCUUCCAGUAGGAAAGAAAAAGCCUCUUUAACUGAAAUAACUUGAUCCUUUGUCUUGUAAUUGCCCCCCACCCCCACAAUUUCCAGGAACACAUCUUUUAUAAUUAACAAGCAUUUAUUUUUAGGGAUGUCCUUUGAGCAACAAGUAGAAGGACAUGUCCAUCUCUUGUUUUGAAUCUUCAGAGGCCACUAGAACUCCCAGGGAUGAACUGUGCUCCUUCCUCCACAUGAAGAACUCUCUCAUUUGUCAUUUUCCUCAGCUUUCAGAGUCUGGAAGGAUCAGAAGAAAAUGAAACUCUUUUUUCCUAUUGAAUUCAGCAGUUAGGGAGUGCCUGUCAGCACAGAGGCAUAGCUUCUGGCGUUAUUGAGAAAUCUGUUGCUAGGACACAGUCUUAAUUUGUUUGUACACUUUUCAGGAGAGCGGUGGGUAUACUUUCACAGAGAGAAACUGAGGCUUAAGAGAGAAAAGUCAGUGGAACAUUCGUGAUGUACAGGAUUAAACCUCAAGCAAUUAUCUGAUUGGUUCCUUUAGACUAGAAGCUUUCAAAGCAUGGUCCCCAGACCAAGGGCAUCAGUGUUACCUGAGAAUCGUUAGACAUGCACAUUCCUGGGCCUCACCCAGCCUUGCUUGAAUGGCAGAAUUGCUGGGAAGUGGCCCACAAUCCAUGCUUUAACAUGUUCUCCAUGUUAUUAUGAUGCUUGAUAACAUAUCAGAUCCACUGCUCUAGAUUCUAGACUUGUCCAUUGGGUCUCAACCUUGGCUGCACAUUGAGAAUAACCUGGAAGACUUAAAAAUCCCAUGAUGCCCUGGUAUCACUGCAGACCAAUUAAAUCAAAAUCUCUGGAGGUGGGCCCCAGGCAUUGAUAUUUUUAAAAUCCCCUCAGGAGAUUCCAGUGCACAGACAGGGUGGAGAAUACUAGCAGAGAGGAUGUUGUUGUUGCAAAUAACAGAAACCUGCUAAAGUAACUCAAGGUGGAAGUUUUGAAGGGAAAAAAGUCCAGUAAGGUCUUACCAGAACUGGAAAGCAUUGAAACCCCAGUGCUUCUUCUUUCCAUCUCUCAUGUUCUCUUUCUGUGGCCACAUUUUCUGUUUUCUGCUUUUCUCUUCACAUUUGCUUUAUGAAUAUUCAUUCUUUCUGCCUCUUCAUUAUUUGUCUUGUCCUUUGACUAACUCCUUCCUCCAAACCCUGCGUGAGCUUUUGGUUUGAACACCCAAAGCUAAGUGACAUCUAGAAGCUGGGGAGAUAUAUUUUUUUCAUAAGAUUUUAAGUUGAAACUAUGAAUUAGGAUUCCACAAAAAAUAAAAUAAUUCUUUAUUCUUUUCUUUUCUUUUUUGGCUGGACCCAGGGCAGGUGGAAGUUCUCAGGCCAGGGAUCAAACCUGAGCCACAGAAGUAACAUUGCCAAAUCCUUCAUUGCUAGUCUACCAGGGAACUCCAUGAUUUUUUUAAAGAAAAAAAAAUACUCUUCUGCUAACAGAGAAUUUAUAGUGUAAUUUAAAAAUCCCCCUGCCCAAAUAAAAUAGUAGCUUUCUAUUAUUGACAAUUAAGAGAGAGAGAGAGAGGAAAAGAAAUUAAACAUGGAGAACAUUUCAAGUGCUUUAGCUCUUAAAACUCUCAUCUCAUAGAUAACUUGUUCUGUCCAGAAACCUGCCUCUUGCCUCCUGAUCAAGCCUGCUUUCCUUGUCUGGCAGCCACCUGCUUCCAAAAAUCAGUCUUGACAUUGCUGAAUUCUUCUCGCCUUCAUGGCUCACCAACUAAGCAACACACCUUAUCAGUUCUAACUUGCCAUCAGAGAGUUAGUUUUCAUCUCCUAUUAUGACCAUCUACCUAAGUGCCCUUUUAUAUUCUCUUAUACGUAUGUGUUUAUUUAUGACUCCAUACAUGCAUCCUGAGUGUUCUGGGCCAUUCCUGCUAUCAACAGCUUCCUGUUCAACCUAUGAACUAUAGGACUUGAUCUUCUUUCAGAUGGUAGGUGUAAUCAUCAUCUCUUCUGACUGCUCAACCAGUAACAUUGUUGAUAGCAAUUUAUCCAGCUUUUGCUGAAAUUUUUCCAGAGAAAGGAAGUUUUUAAAAUUGUGACACAGCAUUGCAAGGCAGCUAUAACCAUAGAGAGUUGUUUCCUGCUGGUAAUAAAUAUUCAAGAACGAAAUUUAAUAUUGGAGCUAGAAUCUAUGUCCCUAGUCCAUAUUCUCCCUUCCUUUUACUUUCAUAUGCUCUUUGAAAUGAUAGCAAGUGCACUUAUUCAUGUUUCAAAUGGGAGCAUUUAUAAAUUUGGAGGACUGCUAUUGAGACUCCACUGAGUCUUCUUUUUUCCUGCAGUAGGCAUCUCCAAUGUCUAUAGCCGUUCUAUGUUUGCAAACAUUCCCAUUUCCCUUGGCUUUCCUCUCUACAGAUGUAUCCCAGGUGGUUUCAAAAUGUCACACUCAGAAUUGAAAAACACUGUAUUAGAUAUAAAUUGACCAGUAUGAGGUACACUGGACUGAUUGUUCUCCUAAUGUAUGGCCACUUUCCUUCUUCAGAAGCAAUUUGUGAUGAGAUUAAUUUUUCAUAUCCAUGGCUACUGAUUCAUUCUGAGCAAACUGUCACUCGAAACCUCCAAAUCGCUCAUUCAAAACCUGCUUCUUAGCUAAAUGUCUCUUUUACUUGUGCCACAAUGUGAGUCUAAUUCUAGGAGCUGUAUUUAUUCCAAUUUAAGUAUUUCUGUUUCUGCUACUUCUGCUCUCUUUGUCACUUACAAUUUCUGCUUGUGUUCACUCUGCUAUCAGCUGUCUUUAAUUCUGUAUUGUUAGCAAAUUUGACGAACACCUUAAGUUACCUAUUCUGUCUCCUUAUGACACAAAGACUACAUCAAAUGUGAGGAACUGCCCCCAUUAAAAUAUCAGAACUUCUAUAUCUUUUGAAACACACAAAUGUGUAUGUAUCAGGUGUUAAUUUUAAGUAUACAGAUCACACUAUGACAGGUUGAUAAACAAAAUGAACACGCCAUAUAACCACUAAACAAAUCAAGAGAUAGAACAUCACCCACAACCCUAGAUACUAAACAAAAAUAUAAUGUUCCCCUACCUCCAAACAUAGACAUUACCCUCAUUUCUAUCACCAUAUUUUGUCUGGUUUUGAAGGUCAUAUGGGUGUACCAUUUUGUAUCUAGCUUAUUCUUUCAUCCUCAAUGCUGGACAGUAUUCUGUUGAAGAAUUAUAUCCUAAUUAAUUAAUCCAUUCCACUGUUUACAGAUUUAGCCUACUGGAAAUAGUGCUGCUAUGUAUAAUUUUGAUAACUGUGGUGCCCAAUGUCUGCAUUUCUGUUGGGAGAGUUCUAGAAUAUGUGCAUAUUCAGCUUCGGAUGAUACUCCCGGAUUGUUUUCCAUAGUAGUGGUACAGAUUUACAGUCAGACAAGCUGGGUUAGAAAGUUCCAGUUGCUCUGUGUCUUGGCCAAAACUAGGUCUUUUCAUGAUGUUAGCAGUCCUAAUAACCUAUUAGAUACAGUGGCAUUUCACUGUAGUGUUUAUACUACAUUUCCUUGAUAUUAAUGAGGUUGAGUAUAGUUUUCUGUGCCUAAUAGCCAUUUAGGUAUUCUCUUCUGUGAAAUCUCAAUUCCAGGUUUCUUGCCCAUUUAAAAACUGGGUUACCUCUUUUUUUUUUUUUUCUUAUUGACAUAUAUGCAUUUUCUAUAUGAAUUAUUUGUUGGAUAUAGGUACUACCACUAUGUUAUUUCACUCUUUGGUCUCUGCCUUUUCACAUUGUUCAUGGUGCCUUUGGAUCAACAGAAGUUCUUAAUAGAAUAGAUCUAAUUUUGAAAUAUUUUCAUUUAUGUUGAGUUCUAAUUCAUGUCCUCAAUAAGAACUCUUUUCCAACUCCAAGGUCAUACAUAGUAGCCUGUUAUUAUUUUAUCUUCCAUGUUAAGUUCUGUAAUCCAUAUAGAUACUUUUCAACAUAUUGUGAGGAUAAAUAUUUUUAUUUUCUACAGUUUUACAUGGGAAUCCACAUCUCCUAUGAUCACCCUUUCCUCAGUGCACUAGUGUCAACUUUGUCAUGAAUCUAGUGACCACAUAUGAGAGUCCCUCCUUGGAAUAUCUACUUUACUCCACUGAUCCAUUUAUAUAUUCAUUCACUAACAGUACUGUCUGAAGUACUGCAAUUUUAAAAGAAGUUUUGAUACCUAUAUGCAAUUUGUCUCAUUUUCUUAUCCUUUUUCAAGACUGUCUCAGUUAUUCUUGGCUCUUUGCAUUCCCAUAUUGGUUUAGGAUCAACUUGCAAGUUUCUCCAAAAUAAAAAACAAAGCAAAACAUAUACCCUCUGUAGAUUUUGAUUGACAUUGAAUUGAAUUUAAGUAUAUAAAUUUGCUAAGAAUUUAAUUUUUUUCAUUUUUCUCAAUGUGUCUUGUACCUCUUUAAAUUUACUAUGAGUUAGUACUUCUCUACUAUUUUAAGUACUAUUUUAAUUUUAUUUUUUCCAAGAACUUGGCAAUUAUUUUAUUCAUUGCACAAGGUGAUUCUUUUUUUUUUUUUUUUUUUUGCUUUUUUAAAAAAAUUGUUGUAGUAUAGUUGACUUACAAUGUUGUAUUAAUUUCAGGUGUACAACAAAAUGAUUCAGUCAUACAUCUAAAAUAUCCAUUCUUUUUCCCGUGUAGAUUAUUACAGACUAUUGAGUAGGUUUUCCUGUGCUAUACAGUAGUUCUUAUUAAUCAUUGAUUUUAUAGGGUAGUGUGUAUAUGUUUUUCCCACCCUCCUAAUUCCUCCCUACCCUAAAGGAUUCACCUAUGGUAACCAUAAAGUUGGUUCUGAAAUCUGUGAGUUUGUUUCUGUUUUAUAAAUAAAUUGCUUUGUAUAACUUUUAUUAGAAUCCAUAUAUGUGAUAUCAUAUGAUACUUGUCUUUCUCUGUCUGACUUACUUCACUCAGUGUGAGAGUCUCUAGGUCCAUUCUUGUUGCUACAAAUGGAAUUUUUUUCAUUAAAAACAUUUCGCAGAGUUCCCAUCAUGAAGCAGCAGAAACGAAUCCGACUAGGAACCAUGAUGCUGUGGGUUCGAUCCCUGACAUUGCUUAGUGGGUUAAGGAUCCAGCAUUGCCGUAAGCUGUUGUCACAGAUGCAGCUCGGAUCUGGCGUGGCUGUGGCUGUGGCAUAGGCCAGCUGCUACAGCUCCGAUUCAACCCCUAGCCUGGGAACUUACAUAUGCCACAGGUGCAGCCCUAAAAAGACAAAAAAAAAAAAAAAAAA
rnacentral:lncRNA from 9 species